rnacentral:tRNA from 1 species
GCAGUGCGUGGCCGAAUGGUUACGCUGUCCGCGUUGUAAGCGGAUGAUUCAGGGUUCGAUUCCCAUCUGCUGCA